UGAUUUGUGCGAGUGUUCGCUCAUCUGAAAAAUGGUGAGAGGAAAGUCCGGACACCAAUGUGGUAGGAUUCCGUACGAAAGUACGGGAAUGUAUGCAAUAACAUACAUUACGGAUAGUGCAACAGAAAAUAUACCGCCCAAAAUUUUGGGUAAGGGUGAAAUGGUGCGGUAAGAGCGCACCGGUACGUCAGUAAUGAUGUGCGCUUGGCAAACCCAAUUCGGUGCAAGAUGGAAUAGGAUACCAGGUAGCCACGCCGUUAAAGUAUCGGGUUCAUCGCAUCCCACUCAAGUGGGAAAUCACAAAAAAUUGUGGUUAGAUAAAUGAACACAGCGAAUAAAAUCGCAACAGAAUCUGGCUUAUAAGCAACAAAUCAGCGU
rnacentral:RNase_P_RNA from 1 species